AGAGUUUGAUCCUGGCUCAGGACGAACGCUGGCGGCGUGCUUAACACAUGCAAGUCGAACGGAAAGGUCUCUUCGGAGACACUCGAGUGGCGAACGGGUGAGUAACACGUGGGCAAUCUGCCCUGCACACCGGGAUAAGCCUGGGAAACUGGGUCUAAUACCGGAUAGGACCACUUGGCGCAUGCCUUGUGGUGGAAAGCUUUUGCGGUGUGGGAUGGGCCCGCGGCCUAUCAGCUUGUUGGUGGGGUGACGGCCUACCAAGGCGACGACGGGUAGCCGGCCUGAGAGGGUGUCCGGCCACACUGGGACUGAGAUACGGCCCAGACUCCUACGGGAGGCAGCAGUGGGGAAUAUUGCACAAUGGGCGCAAGCCUGAUGCAGCGACGCCGCGUGGGGGAUGACGGCCUUCGGGUUGUAAACCUCUUUCACCAUCGACGAAGGUCCGGGUUCUCUCGGAUUGACGGUAGGUGGAGAAGAAGCACCGGCCAACUACGUGCCAGCAGCCGCGGUAAUACGUAGGGUGCGAGCGUUGUCCGGAAUUACUGGGCGUAAAGAGCUCGUAGGUGGUUUGUCGCGUUGUUCGUGAAAUCUCACGGCUUAACUGUGAGCGUGCGGGCGAUACGGGCAGACUAGAGUACUGCAGGGGAGACUGGAAUUCCUGGUGUAGCGGUGGAAUGCGCAGAUAUCAGGAGGAACACCGGUGGCGAAGGCGGGUCUCUGGGCAGUAACUGACGCUGAGGAGCGAAAGCGUGGGGAGCGAACAGGAUUAGAUACCCUGGUAGUCCACGCCGUAAACGGUGGGUACUAGGUGUGGGUUUCCUUCCUUGGGAUCCGUGCCGUAGCUAACGCAUUAAGUACCCCGCCUGGGGAGUACGGCCGCAAGGCUAAAACUCAAAGGAAUUGACGGGGGCCCGCACAAGCGGCGGAGCAUGUGGAUUAAUUCGAUGCAACGCGAAGAACCUUACCUGGGUUUGACAUGCACAGGACGCGUCUAGAGAUAGGCGUUCCCUUGUGGCCUGUGUGCAGGUGGUGCAUGGCUGUCGUCAGCUCGUGUCGUGAGAUGUUGGGUUAAGUCCCGCAACGAGCGCAACCCUUGUCUCAUGUUGCCAGCGGGUAAUGCCGGGGACUCGUGAGAGACUGCCGGGGUCAACUCGGAGGAAGGUGGGGAUGACGUCAAGUCAUCAUGCCCCUUAUGUCCAGGGCUUCACACAUGCUACAAUGGCCGGUACAAAGGGCUGCGAUGCCGCGAGGUUAAGCGAAUCCUUUUAAAGCCGGUCUCAGUUCGGAUCGGGGUCUGCAACUCGACCCCGUGAAGUCGGAGUCGCUAGUAAUCGCAGAUCAGCAACGCUGCGGUGAAUACGUUCCCGGGCCUUGUACACACCGCCCGUCACGUCAUGAAAGUCGGUAACACCCGAAGCCAGUGGCCUAACCCUCGGGAGGGAGCUGUCGAAGGUGGGAUCGGCGAUUGGGACGAAGUCGUAACAAGGUAGCCGUACCGGAAGGUGCGGCUG
rnacentral:rRNA from 1 species